GCUAAGACUGGAUAGGAGAUUAAAAGGCAUCUUUUAAUUUUUAAAAGACCUUUUUCGGAAGGUAUGCUUAAAGAGGGGCUUGCGCCACAUUAGUUAGUUGGUAAGGUAAAGGCUUACCAAGACGAUGAUGUGUAGCUGGACUGGGAGGUCGAACAGCCACAUUGGGUCUGAGACAUGGCCCAAACUCCUACGGGAGGCGGCAGUAAGGAAUUUUUGGCAAUGGAGGAAACUCUGACCGAGCGACGCCGCGUGAACAAUGAAGUACUUCGGUAUGUAAAGUUCUUUUAUUGAAAAAGAAAAAAUAGUGGAAAAACUAUCUUGACAUUAUUCAAUGAAUAAGCCCCGGCUAAUUAUGUGCCAGCAGCCGCGGUAAUACAUAAGGGGCGAGCGUUAUCCGGAAUUAUUGGGCGUAAAGGGUGCGUAGGCGGUUUGAUAAGUCUAUAGUUUAAUUGCAGUGCUUAACGCUGUACCGCUAUAGAAACUGUCUGACUAGAGUUAGAUAGAGGCAAGCGGAAUUCCAUGUGUAGCGGUAAAAUGCGUAAAUAUAUGGAGGAACACCAGAGGCGUAGGCGGCUUGCUGGGUCUUAACUGACGCUGAGGCACGAAAGCGUGGGGAGCAAACAGGAUUAGAUACCCUGGUAGUCCACGCCGUAAACGAUGAGUACUAAGUGUCGGGUUUUGGCUCGGUACUGAAGUUAACACAUUAAGUACUCCGCCUGAGUAGUACGUACGCAAGUAUGAAACUUAAAGGAAUUGACGGGACCCCGCACAAGCGGUGGAUCAUGUUGUUUAAUUCGAAGAUACACGAAAAACCUUACCAGGUCUUGACAUAAUUUUGCGACAUUAUAGAAAUAUAAUGAARGUUAUCAGAAUUACAGGUGGUGCAUGGUUGUCGUCAGCUCGUGUCGUGAGAUGUUAGGUUAAGUCCUAAAACGAGCGCAACCCUUGUCGUUAGUUGCGACCACAUAAUGGUGAGCACUUUAGCGAGACUGCCAAUGAAAAAUUGGAGGAAGGUGAGGAUUACGACAAAUCAUCAUGCCCCUUAUGAUCUGGGCUACAAACGUGAUACAAUGGCUGUUACAAAGAGUAGCUACAACGUGAGUUUUUAGCCAAUCUCAAAAAAACAGUCUCAGUUCGGAUUGAAGUCUGCAACUCGACUUCAUGAAGUUGGAAUCGCUAGUAAUCGCGAAUCAGCACGUCGCGGUGAAUACGUUGACGGGGUUUGUACACACCGCCCGUCAAA
rnacentral:rRNA from 1 species